UGAUUGUAAUUCAGUUUUUUUUCCCACAGAAUCUGAGUUAUCUGAAGAACUACUUAACCCUUAAGGACAGAAGAGAAGGAAUCACAUCCCUCUUGAGCACAGAACAUUAACUUCCCAGCUUUCCCAAAUGCCCGUUGACACAGUCCCAUCUUACAAGACCAUAACUGGCUGAGAAAAAGAAGAGAAUCAAAGACUGCAAGGAAAUAAUUCUCACCCACACAGACUGGGUUAAAGUUUCACAGGAUCCUUCACCACUUCCAGAACUGCUAAAAAGCUGCACCAUGCCCACCAGCUGGAACUGUAGAGGAAAAUGUCCUCACCAUUUAGCUCAAGAUUGAAUGUGCCUGACUGCUGAUCCUGGAGCAGCUGGACUAGGUAAAUGUUCGGAGC
rnacentral:lncRNA from 14 species